UACGGAAGGCAGCAGUGGGGAAUAUUGCACAAUGGGCGCAAGCCUGAUGCAGCCAUGCCGCGUGUAUGAAGAAGGCCUUCGGGUUGUAAAGUACUUUCAGCGGGGAGGAAGGCGAUGCGGUUAAUAACCGCGUCGAUUGACGUUACCCGCAGAAGAAGCACCGGCUAACUCCGUGCCAGCAGCCGCGGUAAUACGGAGGGUGCAAGCGUUAAUCGGAAUUACUGGGCGUAAAGCGCACGCAGGCGGUCUGUUUAAGUCAGAUGUGAAAUCCCCCGGGCUUAACCUGGGAACUGUAUUUGAAACUGGCAGGCUUGAGUCUUGUAGAGGGGGUAGAAUUCCAGGUGUAGCGGUGAAAUGCGUAGAGAUCUGGAGGAAUACCGGUGGCGAAGGCGGCCCCUGGGACAAAGACUGACGCUCAGGUGCGAAAGCGUGGGGAGCAAACAGGAUUAGAUACC
rnacentral:rRNA from 1 species